GAAUGUUAAUUAAGAGAGAUAUGAGGAAGAUGAUUUCUACAAAGUUUGGCCAAGUACUAAUUGUGCUUCUUCUUCUUCUUCUUUGCACCCACCUUUGCCUUACCGAGUCAGCUCUUCCUUCUGGUCAUCAACCAUUCCUUCGAACAGGGAGGAGAAUGAUGAGUUAUUAUAAGAUGAUUGAAGGACCAGUGAGACCAUCGCAGAGCCAAACAGCUGGUGGAAAAAUUUCUAAUGAUGAUGAUCCUUCCACUCCCACCGAUUAGAAAUUUUUAAAUUUUAACUUUAUGUUGCUUUUGCAUCAACAAUUCACAGUUUACGUGAUAUUUAUGUUUUUUAAUUAAAUCAUUUUCAUUGUAAGAACAUUUGAACUUCGUGUACUAUAAUGUCAUGCUAUUUUCCAUAA